CCUCCUUUCUCGGUGAAGACUUUCGUUCGCGCAAGGUCCAGCGCCUAAAUGAAGAUAAAACCAUAAGAUUGGUCAACAUAAAUGAGUCGUAUUCUCAAGAUGGGUCGACAUAAAGGAGUCAUUGUCGUUGUAUGUGCACGCAUAAUUCAUGUGUGUAGCUCUGCUGACAUAUGAUACUCACCUGCUCAGUCUUGGUGUGCCCUUGGACGAACACCAUCUUGAAUAUUGCGUUCUUGAUAGCUUUUGGUGAGCGGUAGGUGUUUAGUGAGAAGAUAACGUCAGCGAAGUCUGAGUACCGGAUCAGGCCGACCCGAGUGCUAUUGUUAGUGACGUUGAACCCACGGAUGACCUAGAGGGGGUGGGGAAGGACAAAUAUUUUAUAUAACGAUAAAAAGAUCUGUAAGAUAGCAUGCAUAUGCAGCCCAAACCAGAGAGAAAAA